ACGAACGCUGGCGGCGUGCUUAACACAUGCAAGUCGAACGGAAAGGCCCUGCUUUUGUGGGGUGCUCGAGUGGCGAACGGGUGAGUAACACGUGAGUAACCUGCCCUUGACUUUGGGAUAACUUCAGGAAACUGGGGCUAAUACCGGAAAGGAGCUCCUGCUGCAUGGUGGGGGUUGGAAAGUUUCGGCGGUUGGGGAUGGACUCGCGGCUUAUCAGCUUGUUGGUGGGGUAGUGGCUUACCAAGGCUUUGACGGGUAGCCGGCCUGAGAGGGUGACCGGCCACAUUGGGACUGAGAUACGGCCCAGACUCCUACGGGAGGCAGCAGUGGGGAAUAUUGCACAAUGGGCGGAAGCCUGAUGCAGCAACGCCGCGUGCGUGAUGACGGCCUUCGGGUUGUAAACCGCUUUCGCCUGUGACGAAGCGUGAGUGACGGUAAUGGGUAAAGAAGCACCGGCUAACUACGUG
rnacentral:rRNA from 1 species